rnacentral:lncRNA from 1 species
AGGUGAUAUAACCCUCUUCUCUGGAAUGGGCCCCACACAAAGGAAGGAUAGUGACAUAUUGCAAGCCCAGGCACACAGGCCCAGAGCACAGUUGAAAUUGUGACAUAUGUACACCAAGCAACCAAGCAAUGUAUAACACCUCAUUUGGCAAUGGAAUCGAGGGCACUUUUACAUAUCACUGAGACCAGCGCCCAGCUGAUGUGAAAUAUUGGCCUGAACCCUGCCUACAAAAGCAUUGUGGCUUUUAUCUAGCUCCAUUACAUAAGUGAUGUGACUUCCUUCUACUGCCUUGGCCCUGCACUUAUGGUGAAUCGUGACACAAAAUUGGGUAGAGCAACCAGCCUGGGCCCUGACCAGCACAGAGAUUGAGGCAUAUUGCUGAACCCAGGACCAAGAUGAAGUCACUCUCCUGCCUUGAUCCUGCACACAGGGACCCUUGUGACAUAUAUACAGGCCAAUUGCCUAGGUGAUGUUGUGCAAUAUACCUGAGACCAGAUCAAUGGCCUAAUAAUGACUCUUUUACCUAGAGCCAGGACAUGUGCAGGAUGGUAACUCUCAUCCCUGAACCUUUCCACAGGUGUUAUUGUCACAUAUACCUUUUCCAGCUCCAAAGUGAUUUAAUAAUCCAGCCUAGUUAUAGCCCACAGAUAAUAUUUGGACAUAUACCUGAGUCAAGAACCUUGGUGAUUUGACUCUCAUGUCUUAACAGUGUCCUCAGAAGGGAUCAUAACAUAUCUCUGGACCCAUCAUCUAGGUUAUGUGACUCUCUUCUCCUGCCUGAACCCUGCUUCCAGUGAAGAGUGUUGCAUUUCUAAGCACUGCAUCCAAAUGACAUGAGUUUCUUGCCUGGGCCGUUUCAACAGAAGGCAUUGUGACAUAUCUCUAGGUCUAUCAUUUAGGUGAUAUGACUCUCCUCUCCUGCCUGGACACUCUCCACAAGGGGCAUUAUGCCAUAGAGCUAGAGCUAGCAACCAAGUUUUGUGAAUUUUCUGUUAGGGCCUUGCCUACAAAGAGAAUUUUGGAAUAUUUCUGGCUUAGAAUUUAAGUAAUGUGGUUGUUCUGCCUGUUCAGUAACCACAGAGGAGAAGGUGAAAUAUAUCUAGGCACCGCAAACAGGCAUGAUAAUGAGUCUUGUAUGUGGACCCAGCAAAUAGGAGAAAUUUUGACUCUUAUAACUAGGUUUAGGAACAUGAGUGAUGUCCAGGAUCUCCUUCUGGUAAGAAGGUCACAGAAGAUUGCAACACUCACAAUUAUUUUGUAACACCUUUGGGUUGUAUAGGGAGUGUCGUAACAGGGCCAAACACACAGAGGAAAUUGUGACAGUCAUAUGCACACCUACCUGACAGUAAAGACUUUCACAAUCACAAAUGGAUGAAGGCAACUGUCCUACAUGAAAACAGGACAUGUGUGGUAUUGUACAUCUAAAACCUAGAAUUUUAUUCCAUUGUGACUGUGAUAUAAAUCAAUGCCAAGCA